CAACAACAACAACAAAAACCCAUCGUUCUUUAUCAGAACACUCUAAACGUUCAUUUGCUUCAGUAUCGUUGUGCCUGGGGUGAAGUCCUUGAAGAUUCUGGUGCUGAGAGUGUCAAUGAAAUACCCUUUGGCAUUAAGCGCUCUGCCUUGAAUCCUGAUUGUGCCACCUGAAAGGAAAGGAACGGGAGUUCCUUAACGGCGUAAUAAACCAGAAGAACCGAAGGGGAGAACCCGCUUGUUCUGUGAAGAAGAUCGCUCCUAGUUAAACAAAGAAAUUUGGGGUCGUCUGCUUUUCAUGGAAAUCUCCUACAUAUGGCCUUUGAAAUUUGUCACUGAAGAUGGGUUCCGCUCUAAGGAGUUUCCUUGCAAACAUUUUACUUAAAGAGGGAAAACAGUAUACUACGCCCUUUCUUACCGGAAGCAUGCCAACUGCUGUGAGCCAGAGGGGUCAAGGACACCCCAAGAAAACCUACAGGGGCAACUAAUCUGGACCCAUAGGGCUUCACAGAGACUCAACCGACAACAAGAGCUCCUGCUUGGAUCUGGCCUAGGCCCUCAAGUUGAUGAAACCAAGUUGAUGGGCCACAACCUUGAGUAACUGAAGUUUCUCUCAGACACCUCUUACCUGACUGCUUGGCUCCCAUGGUCAUCCCUGUGGCUAGACAUAGCAAACGACACUCCUGGGCUCCCACAUGGCAAGAUGAAGCUGGUGGAGACAAUAGGGAUGAGAGAUCGCUGUCAGAUGAGAACUCCAUUCUUAGUC